rnacentral:tRNA from 2 species
CUGGAUAGCAAAAUGGUUAUGCAGCGGAUUGCAAAUCCGUAGACGCCAGUUCGAUUCUGGCUCC